CUUGUUCCUUACGGAGGUGUAGAAAAUCUGUAGCAUGAUGUAAUGGAAUUAAGAAUGGGUCAAUGAAAUAUACAGCUCCUUUCUGGAAUGUACCUGUUCUGCUACAACCAUGGAUAUCCUGACCUUUCUGUGCCUUUCAGGGACAAGGGUAAUAGAGGAGUUUCAGACUCCCUCUAAAACAAAACAACAACUGAACAAUAAACAACAGAAAAAGAACACAAAAAAAGACGGUGGUACUCUUUCCCCUUUCCUUGCUUUCUCCUGCUACCAAAACAAACAACAAAAACUACAUUGUCUCAUUGGAUGACGAAGCUAAAAUUUUGUAGCAAAUCUAUAGAAGAAAAGAAGUGGAAAUCUACUCAAGAGCUACUGUAAAACACUGUAUACAAAACAACCACUUUGAUUCACAUUAAAAAGUGUUAUCUGUUUCUUUGAA
rnacentral:lncRNA from 1 species